AGGGGGCGAGCGCAAGCAGCUCCCGCUGAAGGAUGGGCCUGCGGCUGAUUAGCUAGUUGGKGGGGUGACGGCCUACCAAGGCGACGAUCAGUAGCCGACCUGAGAGGGUGACCGGCCACACUGGGACUGAGACACGGCCCAGACUCCUACGGGAGGCAGCAGUGGGGAAUAUUGCGCAAUGGGCGAAAGCCUGACGCACCGACCCCGCGUGGGUGAUGAAGGCCUUCGGGUCGUAAAACCCUGUCGGGUGGAACGAAUCUCUGCUCGGUGAAUAAUCGGGUAGAUUGACGGUACUACCGAAGGAAGCCCCGGCUAACUACAUGCCAGCAGCCGCGGUAAUACGUAGGGGGCGAGCGUUGUUCGGAUUUACUGGGCGUAAAGAGCGCGUAGGUGGUUCGAUAAGUCGGAGGUGAAAUCCCUCGGYUCAACCRAGGACCCGCGUCCRAUACUGUCGGACUUGAGUGCAGGAGAGGAGAGCGGAAUUCCCAAUGUAGCGGUGAAAUGCGUAGAUAUUGGGAGGAACACCGGUGGCGAAGGCGGCUCUCUGGACUGCUACUGACACUGAGGCGCGAAAGCUAGGGGAGCAAACGGGAUUAGAUACCCCGGUAGUCCUAGCCGUAAACGAUGGGCACUAGGUGUGGGAGGUAUCGACCCCUUC
rnacentral:rRNA from 1 species